UAACCGGAUUAGAUACCCUGGUAGUCCACGCCGUAAACGAUGCAUGCUAGACGUUGGAGGCCUUAGGUCUCUUGUGUCGCAGCUAACGCACUAAGCAUGCCGCCUGGGGAGUACGGCCGCAAGGUUGAAACUCAAAUGAAUUGACGGGGGCCCGCACAAGCGGUGGAGUAUGUGGUUUAAUUCGACGCAACGCGAAGAACCUUACCAACCUUUGACAUGUCCAGUAUGGGUUUAGGAGACUAGACCCUUCAGUUCGGCUGGCUGGAACACAGGUGCUGCAUGGCUGUCGUCAGCUCGUGUCGUGAGAUGUUGGGUUAAGUCCCGCAACGAGCGCAACCCUCAUCUUUAGUUGCCCACGGGUUAGGCCGGGCACUCUAAAGAAACCGCCGGUGACAAGCCGGAGGAAGGCGGGGAUGACGUCAAGUCCUCAUGGCCCUUACAGGUUGGGCUACACACGUACUACAAUGGUGGUGACAGAGGGUAGCGAACCCGCGAGGGGGAGCCAAUCCUCAAAAGCCAUCUCAGUUCGGAUUGCACUCUGCAACUCGGGUGCAUGAAGUUGGAAUCGCUAGUAAUCGCAGAUCAGCACGCUGCGGUGAAUACGUUCCCGGGCCUUGUACACACCGCCCGUCACGCCAUGGAAGUUGGUUUUACCUGAAGCUAGUGAGCUAACCGCAAGGAGGCAGCUAACCACGGUAAGGUUAAUGACUGGGGCGAAGUCGUAACAAGGUAACCGUA
rnacentral:rRNA from 1 species